UACGAAGGGGGCUAGUGUUGUUCGGAAUUACUGGGCGUAAAGCGCGCGUAGGCGGUGAUCUUUGUCAGAGGUGAAAUCCCGGGGCUCAACUCCGGAAUUGCCUUUGAAACGGGAUCGCUAGAGUCCGAGAGAGGAUGGCGGAAUUCCUAGUGUAGAGGUGAAAUUCGUAGAUAUUCGCAAGAACACCAGUGGCGAAGGCGGCUCACUGGCCCGGUACUGACGCUGAGGUGCGAAAGCGUGGGGAGCAAACAGG
rnacentral:rRNA from 1 species